rnacentral:rRNA from 1 species
AUGGACCCGAGGAAAAUUCCACCUAGUGCGCCUCUCCAUGAGGAUGGGUACAUAUACAACAUUUUCUUUGACCUAGAAGACAUUGUGGAAGAAGAAGGUCCAAUGAAGGAUGGUAUCUUAGUGAGCCAUCCUAGAGCUGCUGUAGCAAAAUCAAGCAAUAAUGAGAAGCGACCUCGGGACAAAUCAUCCGGGACUGAUGCUGGAAGUGGGAAAUCUCCCAAACAUGCUGCUCCCACAGCCUCUGAUGCUGAAAAUGGUGGUAGCUCACAUGUAGAAGAGGUCGUUCCUAGCCAAUAUGAGUUAGGAAAAAAAUUAAUUGCUGAGAGAGAAACUAGGAAGCUACUUCUUGAGAAAAAAUUAACCAGUGAAAAGACGCUCUCGGGAGUGGAACAGGUCAAUGCUGAGUUUGCCAAAGACACUGCUAUGUUAGAGGACUUUACUGAGGAGGAAGAGAGUCUGAAGGAGGAUGAGUUCGAUUGUACACAAGAUCCAGAUCACUUUGCUAGGAGGUUGGGCAUUAGUCCACAGAGGAUUAAGGAAAUCAACGAUGCCGCUGAUAAAGAUUUACUUGCUGCGGAUUCUGGUGAACUACAAAGUACUCCUGAUAAAGAGAAUGAAGAUCCUGUUUAUCUGAACUCCAAGACAGCUGCUAUACCGCCUGAGAGAGUUUUGUAUCAAAAAAAUCCUUCUGUUGAUGGGGGUGCAGUAUCUGUUUUGCAAGUUCCGCUACAAGAUAUUAGAGUGGAUGAUGACCCUACCAAAAAGAAACUAUCUGAUGCCGCUGCGAGAGUUCAAAAAGCCAAGGACAAUGCUGCUUUGGAUGAGGCAGCAAGAAGAAGGAGCGACAGGAACAAGAAUAAGGAUGAAGGGCAAACUAUGGACAAGGCUGUGGAGAUGGCAAGGAGGAAAAAUCUGGAAAAGACCCCAGGUGUAACGUCUAUACCUACUGUUUUAAAUACCGUCCCUAGUUUUAUUGCCCUGUCAGUUUAG